AAGAAGAUGAUUUUACCAGCAGUUUCGACGACUGCGAUUACUCGGAUUUGGAUGAGUUUCCUGAUAUUGUCGGCGCUGAUCUGUCUGUAGAAUCUAAAGAAAAAAAUUUAUCAGAUUUCGAGAAAGGAAGAGUGCUUCUCGAUGGUUUGUAAAUUCUGAUUACAACAAAAAAUCCUCUUUAAAGAAAAGAAAGAAAUUGUAAUUAUUUUGUUUUGUGAUUGCGAUUACAGGCACUGGGAAUGGAGUGGAUGCAAAGGCUUUGUUAAAGAACUUGAAUUUAUCAAAACCUUUGAAGGAGCGAGGGCCGAAGUCUCCAGUGGGAUCUGCCAAGUAUUGUGGGAAGAAGCUGGCUAAUAAGU
rnacentral:lncRNA from 1 species